AUUGAACGCUGGCGGCAGGCUUAACACAUGCAAGUCGAGCGGUAGCACAGGGGAGCUUGCUCCCUGGGUGACGAGCGGCGGACGGGUGAGUAAUGUCUGGGAAACUGCCUGAUGGAGGGGGAUAACUACUGGAAACGGUAGCUAAUACCGCAUAACGUCGCAAGACCAAAGAGGGGGACCUUCGGGCCUCUUGCCAUCAGAUGUGCCCAGAUGGGAUUAGCUAGUAGGUGGGGUAAUGGCUCACCUAGGCGACGAUCCCUAGCUGGUCUGAGAGGAUGACCAGCCACACUGGAACUGAGACACGGUCCAGACUCCUACGGGAGGCAGCAGUGGGGAAUAUUGCACAAUGGGCGAAAGCCUGAUGCAGCCAUGCCGCGUGUGUGAAGAAGGCCUUCGGGUUGUAAAGCACUUUCAGCGAGGAGGAAGGUGGUGAGCUUAAUACGUUCAUCAAUUGACGUUACUCGCAGAAGAAGCACCGGCUAACUCCGUG
rnacentral:rRNA from 1 species